AUACGUAGGGUGCAAGCGUUAAUCGGAAUUACUGGGCGUAAAGCGUGCGCAGGCGGUUUUGUAAGGCAGAGGUGAAAUCCCCGGGCUCAAACUGGGAACUGCCUUUGGGACUGCAAGGCUAGAGUACGGCAGAGGGGGAUGGAAUUCCGCGUGUAGCAGUGAAAUGCGUAGAUAUGCGGAGGAACACCGAUGGCGAAGGCAAUCCCCUGGGCCUGUACUGACGCUCAUGCACGAAAGCGUGGGGAGCAAACAGGAUUAGAUACCCUGGUAGUCCACGCCCUAAACGAUGUCAACUGGUUGUUGGGUCUUCAUUGACUCAGUAACGAAGCUAACGCGUGAAGUUGACCGCCUGGGGAGUACGGCCGCAAGGUUGAAACUCAAAUGAAUUGACAGUG
rnacentral:rRNA from 1 species